UACGAAGGGGGCUAGCGUUGUUCGGAAUCACUGGGCGUAAAGCGCACGUAGGCGGAUUUGUCAGUCAGGGGUGAAAUCCCGGGGCUCAACCUCGGAACUGCCUUUGAUACAGCAAAUCUCGAGCCCGGAAGAGGUGGGUGGAAUUCCUAGUGUAGAGGUGAAAUUCGUAGAUAUUAGGAAGAACACCAGUGGCGAAGGCGGCCCACUGGUCCGGUGCUGACGCUGAGGUGCGAAAGCGUGGGGAGCAAACAGG
rnacentral:rRNA from 1 species